rnacentral:snoRNA from 7 species
GCAUAUAUGAUGUGAACGAAACAGUAUGAGAAUCUGUGAUACUGUAAACGCUUUCUGAUGUG